rnacentral:rRNA from 1 species
GACGAACGCUGGCGGCGUGCUUAACACAUGCAAGUCGAACGGAAAGGCCCUGCUUUUGUGGGGUGCUCGAGUGGCGAACGGGUGAGUAACACGUGAGUAACCUGCCCUUGACUUUGGGAUAACUUCAGGAAACUGGGGCUAAUACCGGAUAGGAGCUCCUGCUGCAUGGUGGGGGUUGGAAAGUUUCGGCGGUUGGGGAUGGACUCGCGGCUUAUCAGCUUGUUGGUGGGGUAGUGGCUUACCCAGGCUUUGACCGGUAGCGUGCCUGAGAGGGUGACCGGGCCGACUGGAGCGGAGACACGGGCCAGACUCCUACGGGAGGCAGCAGUGGGGAAUAUUGGACAAGGGGCGCAAGCCUGAUCCAGCCAUACCGCGUGGGUGAAGAAGGCCUUCGGGUUGUAAGGCCCGUUUGUUGGGAAAGAAAAGCAGCAGGUUAAUACCCCGCUGUUCUGACGGUACCCAAAGAAUAAGCACCGGCUAACUUCGUG